CUGACAUCAGGCCUUGUACAAUGUUAGCAGCAGGGUUUCCUACGUGCACUUGCACGAUCAGGACAAAUUCAAGUCUUGGGAUUCUCUUUCUACACCAAAGCAGAUAAUGACGUGUAAAGCUCUACAUACAGGGAUGAGGUCUUGCUUCGUUGCCCCCUCUGGUCUCAAACUCCUGAGCGCAAGCGAUCCUCCUGCGUCAGCCUCCCAAAGUGCUGGGAUUACAAACAUGAGCUGCUAUGCCCAGG
rnacentral:lncRNA from 10 species